GACGUAGGGCGCGAGCGUUGUCCGGAUUUAUUGGGCGUAAAGAGCUCUAGGCGGCUUGUCGCGUCGGCUGUGAAAACCCGCGGCUCAACUGUGGGCGGGCAGCUGAUACGGGCAGGCUGGAGUUUCGGUAGGGGGAGACUGGAAUUCCUGGUGUAGCGGUGAAAUGCGCAGAUAUCAGGAGGGAACACCGGUGGCGAAGGCGGGUCUCUGGGCCGAUACUGACGCUGAG
rnacentral:rRNA from 1 species